AUUGAACGCUGGCGGCAGGCCUAACACAUGCAAGUCGAACGAGCGGCGGACGGGUGAGUAAUGUAUGGGGAACUGCCCGAUAGAGGGGGAUAACUACUGGAAACGGUGGCUAAUACCGCAUACGAUCGGCUGAACCCAUAUGUGAUUAGCUUGGAGGGGGGGUAACGGCUCACCUAGGCGACGAUCCCUAGCUGGUCUGAGAGGAUGACCAUCCACCCUGGAACUGAGACAAGGUCCCGACUCCUACGGGAGGCAGCAGUGGGGAAUAUUGCACAAGGGGCGCAAGCCUGAUGGAGCCAUGCCGCGUGUAUGAAGAAGGCCGUAGGGUUGUAAAGUACUUUCAGCGGGUAGGCGUUACCCGCAGAAGAAGCACCGGCUAACUCCGUGCCAGCAGCCGCGGUAAUAC
rnacentral:rRNA from 1 species